rnacentral:rRNA from 1 species
UACGGGGGGGGCAAGCGUUGUUCGGAAUUACUGGGCGUAAAGGGCUCGUAGGCGGCCAACUAAGUCAGACGUGAAAUCCCUCGGCUUAACCGGGGAACUGCAUCUGAUACUGGAUGGCUUGAGUUUGGGAGAGGGAUGCGGAAUUCCAGGUGUAGCGGUGAAAUGCGUAGAUAUCUGGAGGAACACCAAUGGCGAAGGCAGCUCGCUGGGACGGUACUGACACUGAGACGCGAAAGCGUGGGGAGCAAACAGG